UACGGAGGGGGCUAGCGUUGUUCGGAAUUACUGGGCGUAAAGCGCGCGUAGGCGGCUACUUAAGUCGGAUGUGAAAGCCCCUGGCUCAACUGGGGAAGUGCACCCGAAACUGAGUGGCUUGAGUGCGAAAGAGGGUCGCGGAAUUCCCGGUGUAGAGGUGAAAUUCGUAGAUAUCGGGAGGAACACCGGUGGCGAAGGCGGCGACCUGGGUCGACACUGACGCUGAGGCGCGAAAGCGUGGGGAGCAAACAGG
rnacentral:rRNA from 1 species